ensembl:snRNA
AUGCUCUUUAAAAGGAAGAAAGUCAGCACUCCUCUUGACAGUAACAGAAAAUGCCCCUAGGCCUUAACAACAUGAACAUGGGUUUGUACUCCCACCAAUUUUU